UCGCUAGUAAACGCGGAUCAGCAUGCCGCGGUGAAUACGAUUCCCGGGCCUUGUACACACCGCCCGUCACACCACGAGAGUUUGUAACACCCGAAGUCGGUGAGGUAACCUUUAUGGAGCCAGCCGCCGAAGGUGGGACAGAUGAUUGGGGUGAAGUCGUAACAAGGUAGCCGUAUCGGAAGGUGCGGCUGGAUCACCUCCUUUCUAAGGAUAUUUACGGAAUAUAAGACCUUGGGUCUUAUAAACAGAACGUUCCCUGUCUUGUUUUAGUUUUGAAGGAUCAUUCCUUCGAAACGUUGUUCUUUUGAAAACUAGAUAACAGUAGACAUCACAUUCAAUUAGUAAUACAAGAWAUCACMUAAGUGAUUCUUUUUAACGGUUAAGUUAGAAAGGGCGCACGGUGGAUGCCUUGGCACUAGGAGCCGAUGAAGGACGGGACUAACACCCGAAUAUGCA
rnacentral:misc_RNA from 1 species